rnacentral:rRNA from 1 species
UGGGGAAUAUUGCACAAUGGGCGCAAGCCUGAUGCAGCCAUGCCGCGUGUGUGAAGAAGGCCUUCGGGUUGUAAAGCACUUUCAGCGAGGAGGAAGGUGGUGAACUUAAUACGUUCAUCAAUUGACGUUACUCGCAGAAGAAGCACCGGCUAACUCCGUGCCAGCAGCCGCGGUAAUACGGAGGGUGCAAGCGUUAAUCGGAAUUACUGGGCGUAAAGCGCACGCAGGCGGUUUGUUAAGUCAGAUGUGAAAUCCCCGGGCUCAACCUGGGAACUGCAUUUGAAACUGGCAAGCUAGAGUCUCGUAGAGGGGGGUAGAAUUCCAGGUGUAGCGGUGAAAUGCGUAGAGAUCUGGAGGAAUACCGGUGGCGAAGGCGGCCCCCUGGACGAAGACUGACGCUCAGGUGCGAAAAGGCGUGGGGGAGCAAACAGGAUUAGAUACCCUGGUAGUCCACGCUGUAAAACGAUGUCGAUUUUGGAGGUUGUGCCCUUGAGGCGUGGCUUCCGGAGCUAACGCGUUAAAUGACCGCCUGGGGAGUACGG